GUCCUGCGCAACGCGACGGCUGUGAACCCCGCCAGGUCCGGAAGGAAGCAACGGUAAGCAGUUUUUCGCGUGUGCCGCAGGGGUGCA
rnacentral:SRP_RNA from 1 species